GUUGACAUUUGUUUUUGUUUUAUAACUCUUUAUGAAGGAGAUGCGAGUUAAACAGCAAGAAUCUCCUUUAAUUUCAGUCAAAGUUAGAAAUUCCUAAUGAUAUUUUGAUUUUUGAAGAUAAUAAAAUUGAGAAUGAAAAUGGGGAAUGUGUCAAAGAGACAACAACCCGACCAAAUAAAAAACAACAGCAGAGGGUCACCAACAGGUCUUCAAUGUAGCGAGAAAUUCCCGCACCCGGAGGCGUCCUUCAGCUGGCCCCUAAACAAAUAUAUACUAGUCCAGUGAUAAUGAACGCCAUACUAAUUUCCAAAUUGUACACAAGAAACUAAAAUCAAAAUAAUACAAGACUAACAAAGGCCAGAGGCUCCUGACUUGGGACAGGCGCAAAAAUGCAGCGGGGUUAAACAUGUUUGUGAGAUCUCAACCCUCCCCCUAUACCUCUAACCAAUGUAGAAAAGUAAACGCAUAACAAUACGCACAUUAAAAUUCA
rnacentral:lncRNA from 1 species